rnacentral:lncRNA from 1 species
AAGACGGAAGAUGCCGCCCGCCAGCAGGAGGAGAUCACGCACCUGCUGUCGCAAAUCGUGGACUUGCAGAAGAAGGCGAAAUCCUGUGCGGUGGAAAAUGAAGAACUUGUCCAGCACCUGGGCGCUGCCAAGGAUGCGCAGCGCCAACUCACAGCCGAGCUUCGAGAGCUGGAGGAUAAGUACGCCGAAUGCAUGGAGAUGCUUCAUGAGGCUCAGGAGGAACUGAAGAACCUGCGGAACAAGACGAUGCCCACAUCCCGGCGCUACCACUCCCUGGGCCUGUUCCCCAUGGACUCCUUGGCUGCCGAAAUUGAGGGAACCAUGCGCAAGGAGCUGCAGCUGGAAGAGCCGGAGUCCCCAGACAUCACCCACCAGAAGCGUGUCUUUGAGACGGUGAGAAAUGUCAAUCAAGUGGUCAAGCAGAGAUCGCUAACCCCUUCCCCCAUGAACAUCCCGGGCU